CCUGAGACUUAAAGUCUCCUGAAGGAACGUUGAAGACGACGACGUUGAUAGGUCGGGUGUGUAAGCGCAGCGAUGCGUUGAGCUAACCGAUACUAAUGAACCGUGAGGCUUAACCUUACAACGCCGAAG
rnacentral:rRNA from 1 species